CCUUUCUAUAUGUUACAUUUAGACUAAUGUUUAAAAGUUACUUCAUUUAGCAGGGUGUAGCUUUUUACUCUUCUUAUUCUUUUUUAUACUGGAACUUCAUUUUUUCUGUAUAAGGUGGUACUUUUAAGACACCUCUGCCUAACUACAGUGAACUAACCAGAAGUCUCGGAAUAUGCUCUGGUGGUCAUUUUACACAAGUUCAGGUGUCACAUCCAUGAAACCUACACCACUAACCAGCAUCAGUCCUACAACUUCACUCUCAAAUUUAAUAAAUUCUGGGACAAGCAGAAACUGUAUUUUUAGCGGUGCAUUUUGUGGCAGGCCAGACUGCUAUAAAAUGCACUCUCCUUGUAGCACCACUUCGUCUUGGUUCAGAAGAGAUGUCCUGGAUAUACGUGAUAAUGUAACACGGGUGUUUUUGUUUGUUCAUGUUUAGCGCGUUGGGUUGUGUUUUUAAAGCGAAUGUUACGUUUUUAAAGCGUGUUAUGCGACAGGUGUGUGUAGCACUGGUUACACAUCUCAAUGGGAGAGCAUUAGUCGAGACCACACCUUUACCUGACGUACAACGUGACGUAUGGCGCACACUUUCAAAACAACAAUGGCGGAUAGAAGAUAUUGAUCGAGGCGGCUAAUGCUCCUUUCGCUGGUUGCCAACAACCAUUAAAUAACAAGAAGAAGAAAAUAUUGAUCUGCUUUUCUUAGUUUUGCACGUUUAAGACGCAAUUCAGACUCAAACAAAGCUGCAAAGCAGGAGAACAACAUGGCCAUCAACUAUUCUGUGCCACAGAUCCAGUUCGCUGCAGCACAGAGUGAUGAUGAGACGGUGGAAGAACAACAGAGACAAUUUACGGACCGUUAACAUGUGCAACUUAGAAGUAGUCAGAGGUAACUGGAUGGAGUUCAGUCAGGUUAAAUGCACGGUUGAUUGGAUUAUAUCUGAAGAUCGUAUGCUAUUCGUGACAACUCUACUAGACUCCAAAUUUCUCGUCCAUGAGGGAGUAUCUCAAAAGUAAAUGAAACAACUAAACUUAACACUUUUUCCCUAAAACGGACUGACAUGGGAAACAUUAAAGUUGGACUGACACCAGCUAAUCAGUCUGAAGAACAAGAAGGGAGACCACUGAGGAGAAGUUCUAUGAGUUCACGGGUGACCUCAGCUGUCAAGUUCCUGGAUGUGGAUGGCAACAGACCAGAGAACCUGAAUGACACCAUUACUCUGGAGCCUUGCCCUGCUGCAUCAGCUGAAACAUCAAGCCAUCCACGUCCACCCCUCCUCCUCCACGUCCACCACUAUGUACAACCAUUACUCCAGCUCUUGGGUCUCACACUUACAGAUUCCUUGGGAAAGAUUUCCACUCCGAUUGUCGCAUGCAAUCACAGGAGGGGACAGACCUCAUCCAGAGGACAGGAGAAGUCAGCUAAUAGUGAUAGAUGAUGAAUGAAUUAUCCCUAAGUAACUCAUUAUUUCAAAUCACAACUCAAUGUUACUGUAUGUUACUAUUUAUUGUGGCAUGUUUUAAGGUUUUUUGUAAGGAUAAACCCUGAAGAGGGAACAAAAUGUACCUCCAAGGUUGGGACAAGCAGAAAGACUGGGACCACUGUGAAGCGAAAGAUGAUCCAUGGCCCAUGCUUUCUGGACAUUUACACAAGACGAACAACAAUGAAGACAAGCUCUCUCGCCAUCUUGCAAGGCGCUGUCUCUGUCCAAUAGGUUUUUUGAGUGCAACAGUUUUGAUUUUUUUUUUUCCUUCUUUUACCCGUUUGUUAAAAAUUAUUUCAGCUACUUACACUUUAGUUGUCACAUGUAUUGGCUCACCCUACAAAUCAAUUAACUCAGUCCACUAAGCAAGGUCGGGGUUCAGUGCAGGUCAGUCAAGUUCCUUCACACCACACACACUCAUCCAUGUCCUUGUGGACCCUGCUUUGUGCAUUGAUUUGGUGGUGUGAGCCAGUAUUUUGGAUAAAGUGUAUAUAAAGGCAGAAGUUUGGGGCUUGAUAUUCUAUUCAUUACAAUUCAGUUUA